rnacentral:rRNA from 1 species
UGCCAGCCGCCGCGGUAAUACAGAGGGUGCAAGCGUUAAUCGGAAUGACUGGGCGUAAAGGGCGUGUAGGUGGUUAUUUAAGUUGGAUGUGAAAUCCCCGGGCUUAACCUGGGAACUGCAUCCGAUACUGGGUAACUAGAGUAUAGGAGAGGGAAGUGGAAUUUCCGGUGUAGCGGUGAAAUGCGUAGAUAUCGGAAGGAACACCAGUGGCGAAGGCGGCUUCCUGGCCUAAUACUGACACUGAGGCGCGAAAGCGUGGGUAGCGAACAGGAUUAGAUA